UGGCAGGUUAGAUACUUAGUCAAUAAGUUAACCACGUAUUGGUAGCUUGAUAAAUAAGCUAACUAUGUGGUGCACAUAUAGAAAACUUGCUUUGCAAAUUAAGAUAUGUAUCUUGUAAAAUCAAUAUAUUUUAGAGGUCCUAUAGGAUAUCACCAUAUAACUCAUAGUUAAGAAUAUAUACGGAGGUAAGAGUGAAGCCUUCUUUACUCUUAUCAACACCUUUUUAGU
rnacentral:lncRNA from 1 species